AUACGGAGGGUGCAAGCGUUACUCGGAAUCACUGGGCGUAAAGCGCGCGCAGGCGGCCCGAUAAGUUGGAUGUGAAAGCCUACGGCUCAACCGUAGAACUGCAUCCAAAACUGUCGGGCUUGAGUCUGGGAGGGGAAGAUGGAAUUAGUUGUGUAGGGGUAAAAUCCGUAGAGAUAACUAGGAAUACCAAAAGCGAAGGCGAUCUUCUGGAACAGUACUGACGCUGAGGCGCGAAAGCGUGGGGAGCAAACAGGAUUAGAAACCCGUGUAGUCC
rnacentral:rRNA from 1 species